ACGAACGCUGGCGGCGUGCUUAACACAUGCAAGUCGAACGGAAAGGCCCUGCUUUUGUGGGGUGCUCGAGUGGCGAACGGGUGAGUAACACGUGAGUAACCUGCCCUUGACUUUGGGAUAACUUCAGGAAACUGGGGCUAAUACCGGAUAGGAGCUCCUGCUGCAUGGUGGGGGUUGGAAAGUUUCGGCGGUUGGGGAUGGACUCGCGGCUUAUCAGCUUGUUGGUGGGGUAGUGGCUUACCAAGGCUUUGACGGGUAGCCGGCCUGAGAGGGUGACCGGCCACAUUGGGACUGAGAUACGGCCCAGACUCCUACGGGAGGCAACAGUGGGGAAUAUUGCACAAUGGGCGGAAGCCUGAUGCAGCAACGCCGCGUGCGGGAUGACGGCCUUCGGGUUGUAAACCGCUUUCGCCUGUGACGAAGCGUGAGUGACGGUAAUGGGUAAGAAGCACCGGCUAACUACGUG
rnacentral:rRNA from 1 species